CCCAGGGCUCAAGCAGUUCUCCAGUCUCAGCCUCCUGAAGUGCUGGGAUUAUAGGCAUGAGCCACCACGCCAGGCCCCUAACUCAUUUUAAAUGGCUGUGUAAUGUGGAUGAUGACAGCACCUACCUCAAGGGGCUGCUGUGAGGACUAAAUGGGGAUCACUUACAGGUGCCCUCUCCCCCAACAGCCAGAAAGGGAAAACAGAGCCGAGUUUGGCCACUGGGGCCUCCACAGCCCUCUGGAAGAAGGGGCUGACUGAUAGGAAGGCACUCCUCUGGUGUUCACUGGCCAGACCCCUGUGGGCUCAGAAGACUACCUAGACCCCAUGAAGAAAGACUCUAGACACAUUUUUAUAAUCAGAAACUUACAGUUUAUUGUGAAUAAACCACUCAACUUUGAGCAGA
rnacentral:lncRNA from 1 species